rnacentral:rRNA from 1 species
UGGGAUACCACUUGGAAACAGGUGCUAAUACCGGAUAACAACAAUAGCUGCAUGGCUAUUGCUUAAAAGGCGGCGAAAGCUGUCGCUAAAGGAUGGACCCGCGGUGCAUUAGCUAGUUGGUAAGGUAAUGGCUUACCAAGGCGACGAUGCAUAGCCGAGUUGAGAGACUGAUCGGCCACAUUGGGACUGAGACACGGCCCAAACUCCUACGGGAGGCAGCAGUAGGGAAUCUUCCACAAUGGGCGAAAGCCUGAUGGAGCAACGCCGCGUGAGUGAAGAAGGUUUUCGGAUCGUAAAGCUCUGUUGUUGGUGAAGAAGGAUAGAGGUAGUAACUGGCCCCUAUUUGACGGUAAUCAACCAGAAAGUCACGGCUAACUACGUGCCAGCAGCCGCGGUAAUACGUAGGUGGCAAGCGUUGUCCGGAUUUAUUGGGCGUAAAGCGAGCGCAGGCGGAAAGAUAAGUCUGACGUGAAAGCCCCCGGCUUAACCGAGGAAUUGCAUCGGAAACUGUGUUUCUUGAGUGCAGAAGAGGAGAGUGGAACUCCAUGUGUAGCGGUGGAAUGCGUAGAUAUAUGGAAGAACACCAGUGGCGAAGGCGGCUCUCUGGUCUGUAACUGACGCUGAGGCUCGAAAGCAUGGGUAGCGAACAGGAUUAGAUACCCUGGUAGUCCAUGCCGUAAACGAUGAG